rnacentral:rRNA from 1 species
AUGUUGGACGCGACCACCUACUUAUUCCCGAGACUAAGUCUUUGGUGGCUUAAGCACAAUAUGCCCGGCAUAUGUUCUACAUCUACGGCAUGUAAUGAUCCUACUGGCAUUUCAAGAGGUCUUGUAAAUACAACACUCUUCCAAAGUAUUUCCAAGAUGCAUAAGGUUGGCAUGGGAGUAGGCCCGUACCAUGGGUUCGUGUGGCUGGAGGACCAUGGCCAGUGCUGCUAUUGCCUGAGAACCGGUUCAGAUAAAUGCGAACACUGGUUGGGGGUUCUAAGAAGGAUGACCCAAAAUGGGAGCAUGACAGACACCAUGGUCCAGGAAAUAAGGGGGAAUCCCGUGGUGUCUACUAUGCUUUCAGAAAUCCUAUGCAGUCAGGGAGAUUCCUUCAGAUUUUUGCAUGAUGAGCAGGUAGCUGUAAAGGGUCGUGGUGUCUACUAUGCUUUUCAGAAAGAGAAGGGCGGUUCCAAGGCAGAGAUAGUAAUGGUUUCAAAAAAAAGAGAUGUCUCGCUAUGGCAGGAAAACGAGUAG